AGAGUUUGAUUAUGGCUCAGGAUGAACGCUAGCUACAGGCUUAACACAUGCAAGUCGAGGGCAGCAGGACGAUAGCUUGCUAUGUUGCUGGCGACCGGCGCACGGGUGAGUAACGCGUAUCCAACUUCCCUUAGUAGGCAUAGCCCGGUGAAAAUCGGAUUAAUACCCUAUGUUGUGUCAUGAGGACAUCUGAAUAACACUAAAGAUUUAUCGCUAAGGGAUGGGGAUGCGUCCGAUUAGGUAGUCGGCGGGUAACGGCCCACCGAGCCCUCGAUCGGUAGGGGUUCUGAGAGGAAGGUCCCCCACACUGGUACUGAGACACGGACCAGACUCCUACGGGAGGCAGCAGUGAGGAAUAUUGGUCAAUGGGCGUAAGCCUGAACCAGCCAAAGUAGCGUGCAGGAUGACGGCCCUAUGGGUUGUAAACUGCUUUUAUACGGGGAUAAAGUGAGGGACGUGUCCCUUAUUGUAGGUACCGUAUGAAUAAGGACCGGCUAAUUCCGUGCCAGCCGCGGC
rnacentral:rRNA from 1 species